rnacentral:rRNA from 1 species
GAUGAACGCUGGCGGCGUGCCUAACACAUGCAAGUCGAACGACAAGACGCUGAGCUUGUUCCUUUGCCGUUAGCGGCUCACGGGUGAGUAACGCGUGCAUCACCUUCUUCUAUUUCUUGGAUAAUUACGUAAAACCGGUUCUACUACCACCUCAUAUAUUCAACCGCUUGGUUCAAUAGUUCUUCACGGUUUUCCUGUUUCUUAUAGCUGAUUUCGCGCCGGAGUAGUUAGUUGGUAAGGUAACGGCUUACCAAGGCGACGAUGCGUAUCCGAAGUGAGAGGGUGAUCGGCCACACUGGAACGGAGACACGGUCCAGACUCCUAAGGGAGGCAGCAGUAGGGAAUAUUAGGCAAUGGGCGAAAGCAUGACGGAGCAACGCCGCGUGAGUGAAGAAGGCCUUCGGAUCGUAAAGACCUGUUAUUAGGGAAGAACAAAUGUGGAAGGAAAUAUGGACGUCGUGACGGUACCGAAUCAGAAAGCAACGGCUAACUACGUG